rnacentral:rRNA from 1 species
CCUACGGGUGGCUGCAGUGGGGAAUAUUGGACAAUGGGCGAAAGCCUGAUCCAGCCAUGCCGCGUGUGUGAAGAAGGCCUUCGGGUUGUAAAGCACUUUCAGUGGGGAAGAAAGCCUUGGGGCUAAUACCCUCGAGGAAGGACAUCACCCACAGAAGAAGCACCGGCUAACUCCGUGCCAGCAGCCGCGGUAAUACGGAGGGUGCGAGCGUUAAUAGGAAUUACUGGGCGUAAAGCGCGCGUAGGCGGUCUGAUAAGCCGGUUGUGAAAGCCCCGGGCUCAACCUGGGAACGGCAUCCGGAACUGUCAGGCUAGAGUGCAGGAGAGGAAGGUAGAAUUCCCGGUGUAGCGGUGAAAUGCGUAGAGAUCGGGAGGAAUACCAGUGGCGAAGGCGGCCUUCUGGACUGACACUGACGCUGAGGUGCGAAAGCGUGGGUAGCAAACAGGAUUAGAUACCCGGGUAGUC